GCACGUAGUUGGCCGGUGCUUCUUUAGUAGGUACCGUCACUUGCGCUUCGUCCCUACCGAAAGAGGUUUACAACCCGAAGGCCGUCAUCCCUCACGCGGCGUUGCUGGAUCAGGCUUCCGCCCAUUGUCCAAUAUUCCCCA
rnacentral:rRNA from 1 species